AGAGCGAACGCUGGCGGCAGGCCUAACACAUGCAAGUCGAGCGCCCCGCAAGGGGAGCGGCAGACGGGAGAGUAACACGUGGGAACGUACCCUUCAGUUCGGAACAACCCAGGGAAACUUGGGCUAAUACCGGAUACGUCCGUAAGGAGAAAGAUUUAUCGCUGAAGGAUCGGCCCGCGUCUGAUUAGCUAGUUGGUGAGGUAACGGCUCACCAAGGCUACGAUCAGUAGCUGGUCUGAGAGGAUGAUCAGCCUCACUGGGACUGAGACACGGCCCAGACUCCUACGGGAGGCAGCAGUGGGGAAUAUUGGACAAUGGGCGCAAGCCUGAUCCAGCCAUGCCGCGUGGAUGAUGAAGGCCUUAGGGUUGUAAAAUCCUUUCGGCGGGGAAGAUAAUGACGGUACCCGCAGAAGAAGCCCGGCUAACUUCGUGCCAGCAGCCGC
rnacentral:rRNA from 1 species